rnacentral:rRNA from 1 species
CCUACGGGAGGCAGCAGUAGGGAAUAUUCGGCAAUGGGGGCAACCCUGACCGAGCAACGCCGCGUGAACGAAGAAGGCCUUCGGAAUGUAAAGUUCUUUUAACAGGGAAGAAAGAGAAAUUAGACGGUACCUUAAGAAUAAGCUUCGUCUAACUACGUGCCAGCACCCGCGGUAAUCCGUAGAGAGAGAGGGUUAUCCGGAAUUAUUGGUCUAAAGGGGUGGGUAGAUGGUAUAGAAAGCAGUUGGUAAAAAUGGUGGGCUAAACCUAGUAGGGCAAAAGAUACUGCAAAGCUAGAGUAUAACAGAGGCAAGUGGAAUUCCAGGUGUAGCGGUAAAAUGCUUAAAUAUAUGUAAGAACACCAGUGGCGAAGGCGGCUUGCU